rnacentral:ncRNA from 2 species
CAACUUGAUAGCAUGGACAGUGCCGCCCUCCGGGGCGGGUAAAAGGGAAUCGGGUGCAAAUCCCGAACGAUCCGGUCACUGUAAGCGGGGAGCCGGCCGCAGACGCCAUUGUGGAGACACGAGAAGGCGCGGCCCGGCGGAGAGCCGUAAGUCAGGAAACCUGCUGUCUGUGCAGAAGGAUA